rfam:Felis catus isolate Cinnamon breed Abyssinian chromosome E2, whole genome shotgun sequence.
GCCUAGGUGGCUCAGUCGGUUGAGCGUCCGACUUCAGUUCGGGUCAUGAUCUCACUGCUCGUGGGUUCGAGCCCCGCGUCGGGCU